UGUGGAGCGGCNCAAGGGUGCGUAACACGUGGGUAAUUUGCCGUGAAGUUGGGGAUAACUCGCUGAAAGGCGAGCUAAUACCGAAUGUGGAACGAGAGUGGCAUCACUUUUUUUCUAAAGCUGGGGAUCGUAAGACCUGGCGCUUCAUGAUAAGCCCGCGGCCUAUCAGCUAGUUGGUGUGGUAACGGCACACCAAGGCUAAGACGGGUAGCUGGUCUGAGAGGACGACCAGCCACACUGGAACUGAGACACGGUCCAGACACCUACGGGUGGCAGCAGUCGAGAAUUUUUCUCAAUGGGCGCAAGCCUGAAGGAGCGACGCCGCGUGUGGGAUGAAGGGUUUCGAUCCGUAAACCACUGUCAUUUGUGAACAAUGGUUGCUAUUUAAAAGAUGGUAACUUGAUAGUAAUGAAAGAGGAAGGGACGGCUAACUCUGUGCCAGCAGCCGCGGUAAUACAGAGGUCCCAAGCGUUGUUCGGAUUCACUGGGCGUAAAGGGUGCGUAGGUGGCAUGGUAAGUUUGAUGUGAAAGCUCAGGGCUCAACCCUGAAAUGGCAUUGAAUACUACUGUGCUGGAGGUUUGGAGGGGGGACUGGAAUUCUUGGUGUAGCAGUGAAAUGCGUAGAUAUCAAGAGGAACACCAGUGGCGAANGCGAGUCCC
rnacentral:rRNA from 1 species